UACGAAGGGGGCUAGCGUUGCUCGGAAUCACUGGGCGUAAAGGGUGCGUAGGCGGGUCUUUUAAGUCAGGGGUGAAAUCCUGGAGCUCAACUCCAGAACUGCCUUUGAUACUGAGGAUCUUGAGUUCGGGAGAGGUGAGUGGAACUGCGAGUGUAGAGGUGAAAUUGUAGAUAUUCGCAAGAACACCAGUGGCGAAGGCGGCUCACUGGCCCGAUACUGACGCUGAGGCACGAAAAGCGUGGGGAGCAACAGGG
rnacentral:rRNA from 1 species